UACGAAGGGGGCUAGCGUUGCUCGGAAUGACUGGGCGUAAAGGGCGCGUAGGCGGAUGGCACAGUCAGAUGUGAAAUUCCCGGGCUUAACCUGGGGGCUGCAUUUGAUACGUGUUGUCUUGAGUUCGGAAGAGGGUCGUGGAAUUCCCAGUGUAGAGGUGAAAUUCGUAGAUAUUGGGAAGAACACCGGUGGCGAAGGCGGCGACCUGGUCCGACACUGACGCUGAGGCGCGAAAGCGUGGGGAGCAACAGG
rnacentral:rRNA from 1 species